rnacentral:rRNA from 1 species
GACGGAUGGGGCUAGCGUUAUUCGGAAUUACUGGGCGUAAAGGGCGCGUAGGCGGUGAAUUAAGUUAGGCGUGAAAGCCCUGGGCUCAACCCAGGAACUGCGUUUAAUACUGGUUCGCUAGAGUUUGGUAGAGGAAAGCGGAAUUCCUAGUGUAGAGGUGAAAUUCGUAGAUAUUAGGAAGAACACCAGAGGCGAAGGCGGCUUUCUGGACCAAUACUGACGCUGAGGCGCGAAAGCGUGGGGAGCAAACAGG